CAAAUCGCAGCUGCUCUUUGGCCGGCUUUGUUCCCGGGACUGUGUGUGGUUCCGGCUGGGCAUCGGGCUCCAGGAGCCAGCGGCUCCGGCGGAUGCCUGCCUUUGUUUAGCAUCUCCCCUGCACGUUGAAGGAAUGACGGGGCCCGCCAAGGCUCUCCGGGGCCAAGCUCGCUGCAGGCUCUCCCAGGAGUGUUUGGCUGCCUUCUCCAGGCCAAGCCCAGGUGCUGGAAUUAAAAGCGAAUGUGGCCACCAUGUCGAGUUACUAGUCUUUUUUGGAAAAAAAAAAAAAAGCAACAUUAUUACUGUGUAAUGUGUGUGCAUAGGUGCCAACACUUGUGCCACAGCCUAGUGUGAGGAUCAGAGAACGUCUCUCCUUACACUGUGAGAAGUGACUCAACUAAGGUCUUGCGCAGGUAUGUGGACCGAGUUCUCUGCCUUCAAGCUCUACAAGGCAGCGAUAAGAGACACUGGAAUGCCCCCAGCAGGAGAAGAUGAGGAGAAAGACGAGAAGGAUGCGGUUUGGAGCUUGAACAGUUCUCUGCCUUCAAGCUUUACAAGGCAGCGAUAAGAGACACUGGAAUGCCCCCAGCAGGAGAAGAUGAGGAGAAAGACGAGAAGGAUGCGGUUUGGAGCUUGAACCCUGCUUCCUCCCUGAUAUAUCAGUUUUUCUAAAUAAAUGUUAGGCUUGAAUGAA